rnacentral:lncRNA from 1 species
AUGAUCAACAACCACCACUAUAUACACUAUAUACACCUCUACCCUCAUUAUCAACAACUACCACUAAAUACACCUCUACCCUCAUUAUCAGCAACCACCACUAUAUACACCUCUACCCUCAUUAUCAGCAACCACCACUAUAUACACUAUAUACACCUCUACCCUCAUUAUCAACAACCACCACUAUAUACACCUCUACCCUCAUUAUCAGCAACCACCACUAUAUACACUAUAUACACCUCUACCCUCAUUAUCAGCAACCACCACUAUAUACACUAUAUACACCUCUACCCUCAUUAUCAACAACCACCACUAUAUACACCUCUACCCUCAUUAUCAGCAACCACCACUAUAUACACUAUAUACACCUCUACCCUCAUUAUCAGCAACCACCACUAUAUACACCUCUACCCUCAUUAUCAGCAACCACCACUAUAUACACCUCUACCCUCAUUAUCAACAACCACCACUAUAUACACUAUAUACACCUCUACCCUCAUUAUCAACAACCACCACUAUAUACACUAUAUACACCUCUACCCUCAUUAUCAACAACCACCACUAUAUACACUAUAUACACCUCUACCCUCAUUAUCAACAACCACCACUAUAUACACCUCUACCCUCAUUAUCAACCACCACCACUAUAUACACUAUAUACACCUCUACCCUCAUUAUCAACAACCACCACUAUAUACACUAUAUACACCUCUACCCUCAUUAGCAACAACCACCACUAUAUACACCUCUACCCUCAUUAUCAACAACCACCACUAUAUACACUAUAUACACCUCUACCCUCAUUAUCAACAACCACCACUAUAUACACUAUAUACACCUCUACCCUCAUUAUCAACAACCACCACUAUAUACACUAUAUACACCUCUACCCUCAUUAUCAACAACCACCACUAUAUACACUAUAUACACCUCUACCCUCAUUAUCAACAACCACCACUAUAUACACUAUAUACACCUCUACCCUCAUUAUCAACAACCACCACUAUAUACACUAUAUACACCUCUACCCUCAUUAGCAACAACCACCACUAUAUACACCUCUACCCUCAUUAUCAACAACCACCACUAUAUACACCUCUACCCUCAUUAUCAACAACCACCACUAUAUACACCUCUACCCUCAUUAUCAACAACCACCACUAUAUACACCUCUACCCUCAUUAUCAGCAACCACCACUAUAUACACCUCUACCCUCAUUAUCAACAACCACCACUAUAUACACCUCUACCCUCAUUAUCAGCAACCACCACUAUAUACACCUCUACCCUCAUUAUCAGCAACCACCACUAUAUACACUAUAUACACCUCUACCCUCAUUAUCAGCAACCACCACUAUAUACACUAUAUACACCUCUACCCUCAUUAUCAACAACCACCACUAUAUACACUAUAUACACCUCUACCCUCAUUAUCAACAACCACCACUAUAUACACUAUAUACACCUCUACCCUCAUUAUCAACAACCACCACUAUAUACACUAUAUACACCUCUACCCUCAUUAGCAACAACCACCACUAUAUACACCACUACCCUCAUUAUCAACAACCACCACUAUAUACACCUCUACCCUCAUUAUCAACAACCACCACUAUAUACACCUCUACCCUCAUUAUCAACAACCACCACUAUAUACACCUCUACCCUCAUUAUCAGCAACCACCACUAUAUACACCUCUACCCUCAUUAUCAACAACCACCACUAUAUACACCUCUACCCUCAUUAUCAGCAACCACCACUAUAUACACCUCUACCCUCAUUAUCAGCAACCACCACUAUAUACACUAUAUACACCUCUACCCUCAUUAUCAGCAACCACCACUAUAUACACUAUAUACACCUCUACCCUCAUGAUCAACAACCACCACUAUAUACACUAUAUACACCUCUACCCUCAUUAUCAACAACUACCACUAAAUACACCUCUACCCUCAUUAUCAGCAACCACCACUAUAUACACCUCUACCCUCAUUAUCAGCAACCACCACUAUAUACACUAUAUACACCUCUACCCUCAUUAUCAACAACCACCACUAUAUACACCUCUACCCUCAUUAUCAGCAACCACCACUAUAUACACUAUAUACACCUCUACCCUCAUUAUCAGCAACCACCACUAUAUACACUAUAUACACCUCUACCCUCAUUAUCAACAACCACCACUAUAUACACCUCUACCCUCAUUAUCAGCAACCACCACUAUAUACACUAUAUACACCUCUACCCUCAUUAUCAGCAACCACCACUAUAUACACCUCUACCCUCAUUAUCAGCAACCACCACUAUAUACACCUCUACCCUCAUUAUCAACAACCACCACUAUAUACACCUCUACCCUCAUUAUCAACCACCACCACUAUAUACACUAUAUACACCUCUACCCUCAUUAUCAACAACCACCACUAUAUACACUAUAUACACCUCUACCCUCAUUAGCAACAACCACCACUAUAUACACCUCUACCCUCAUUAUCAACAACCACCACUAUAUACACUAUAUACACCUCUACCCUCAUUAUCAACAACCACCACUAUAUACACUAUAUACACCUCUACCCUCAUUAUCAACAACCACCACUAUAUACACUAUAUACACCUCUACCCUCAUUAUCAACAACCACCACUAUAUACACUAUAUACACCUCUACCCUCAUUAUCAACAACCACCACUAUAUACACUAUAUACACCUCUACCCUCAUUAUCAACAACCACCACUAUAUACACUAUAUACACCUCUACCCUCAUUAGCAACAACCACCACUAUAUACACCUCUACCCUCAUUAUCAACAACCACCACUAUAUACACCUCUACCCUCAUUAUCAACAACCACCACUAUAUACACCUCUACCCUCAUUAUCAACAACCACCACUAUAUACACCUCUACCCUCAUUAUCAGCAACCACCACUAUAUACACCUCUACCCUCAUUAUCAACAACCACCACUAUAUACACCUCUACCCUCAUUAUCAGCAACCACCACUAUAUACACCUCUACCCUCAUUAUCAGCAACCACCACUAUAUACACUAUAUACACCUCUACCCUCAUUAUCAGCAACCACCACUAUAUACACUAUAUACACCUCUACCCUCAUGAUCAACAACCACCACUAUAUACACUAUAUACACCUCUACCCUCAUUAUCAACAACUACCACUAAAUACACCUCUACCCUCAUUAUCAGCAACCACCACUAUAUACACCUCUACCCUCAUUAUCAGCAACCACCACUAUAUACACUAUAUACACCUCUACCCUCAUUAUCAACAACCACCACUAUAUACACCUCUACCCUCAUUAUCAGCAACCACCACUACAUACACUAUAUACACCUCUACCCUCAUUAUCAGCAACCACCACUAUAUACACUAUAUACACCUCUACCCUCAUUAUCAACAACCACCACUAUAUACACUAUAUACACCUCUACCCUCAUUAUCAACAACUACCACUAAAUACACCUCUACCCUCAUUAUCAGCAACCACCACUAUAUACUCCUCUACCCUCAUUAUCAACAACCACCACUAUAUACUCCUCUACCCUCAUUAUCAACAACCAUCACUAUAUACACCUCUACCCUCAUUAUCAACAACCACCACUAUAUACACCUCUACCCUCAUUAUCAGCAACCACCACUAUAUACACUAUAUACACCUCUACCCUCAUUAUCAGCAACCACCACUAUAUACACCUCUACCCUCAUUAUCAGCAACCACCACUAUAUACACCUCUACCCUCAUUAUCAACAACCACCACUAUAUACACUAUAUACACCUCUACCCUCAUUAUCAACAACCACCACUAUAUACACUAUAUACACCUCUACCCUCAUUAUCAACAACCACCACUAUAUACACUAUAUACACCUCUACCCUCAUUAUCAACAACCACCACUAUAUACACCUCUACCCUCAUUAUCAACAACCACCACUAUAUACACCUCUACCCUCAUUAUCAGCAACCACCACUAUAUACACCUCUACCCUCAUUAUCAACAACCACCACUAUAUACACUAUAUACACCUCUACCCUCAUUAUCAACAACCACCACUAUAUACACUAUAUACACCUCUACCCUCAUUAUCAGCAACCACCACUAUAUACACUAUAUACACCUCUACCCUCAUUAUCAACAACCACCACUAUAUACACUAUAUACACCUCUACCCUCAUUAUCAACAACCACCACUAUAUACACCUCUACCCUCAUUAUCAACAACAACCACUAUAUACACCUCUACCCUCAUUAUCAACAACAACCACUAUAUACACCUCUACCCUCAUUAUCAACAACCACCACUAUAUACACCUCUACCCUCAUUAUCAACAACCACCACUGUAUAUACCUCUAA